rnacentral:lncRNA from 1 species
GGUCGCCCACGCGACGCCGGCUCUUGCCAUUGCCGCACCGAAACUCGUCAUCGUGCUCUCCGCGGCCAGGCUCGACGCUAAGCCGACGGUCCUCAUCGCUGAGAAGCUCGGCGAGGCCAAGUUGGACCUUCUGAAGGAAUCGACGACCGCCAGUAGAAUCGGGUACGUCUUCGAUUUGCUGUCUCUCUCGUCGGCAACUGAUCAUCACGGAAAUCGCAACUUGAUUGUAUCUCCGGUCCCAGGCUACAACCGGAGUCGUUGCAAUCGGAGUCAAAUCAGUGUGAAGGCAAACAGUCAACCGGAAUUGUUGCAAAACGACUAGAAUUGUGGGCAAAAUCGUCAACCGGAGUCGAGAUUAUUGGGGGGCAAUAAUCUUCCUAUUGGGGGGCAAUAAUGUGUCUUAAUUGUUAUAAAGUCUCUAUAAUUGUGUUCAGUGAUA